GUGAAUCAUCGAAUUUUUGAACGCAAAUUGCACUCUCCGGUUUUCCGGGAGAGUAUGCCUGUUUGAGGGUCAGUGUAACAAAAAUCGCCAUUGUUGGUGGGUUAUUGUUUCUUUCGUCGGGGGUGGGCUAUCUUAAAUCCCGGUUGAAGCGACUGAAAUAUUUUUUUUACGAUUCUAAGAUUGUUACUCAGAUUUUUCUUGUACGUUUAAGGUA
rnacentral:misc_RNA from 1 species